AUCGCUUCUCAGCCUUUACGGCUAAGAGCAUGCGUAGUAUCUGUUCGUGUCAGCGUGACAGCUGAUAAGUCCUCCAUCCAAGGACAGUCUAUCAUAGUGGAUUUUUGGAGCAGGGAGACGAAAUGGGAGCUUGCUCAGUCCGCUCCACGCGUCGACCUGGUAUUGCAGUACGUCCAGGGACGGUGCAUCCCCU
rnacentral:snRNA from 1 species